rnacentral:rRNA from 1 species
CAGUAGCCGCGGUAAUACCGAGGGUGCAAACGUUGUUCGGAAUUACUGGGCGUAAAGCGCGUGUAGGCUGCUCUGCAAGUCAGGUGUGAAAGCCCUGGGCUCAACCUAGGAAGUGCACUUGAAACUGCAAGAGCUGGAGUGUUGGAGAGGGAAGCGGAAUUCUCGGUGUAGAGGUGAAAUUCGUAGAUAUCGAGAGGAACACCGGUGGCGAAGGCGGCUUCCUGGACAACUACUGACGCUGAGACGCGAAAGCGUGGGGAGCAAACAGGAUUAGAGACCCCAGUAGUCCCUGUCUCUUAUU